UUUGGUGGUCAUAGCGCGAGCAAAACACCCGGAUCCAUUCCGAACCCGGCCGUUAAGUGCCGUUGCGCCAAUGGUACUGCGACUCAAGUCGUGGGAGAGUAGGUCACCGCCAAAC
rnacentral:rRNA from 1 species